UACAGAGGUGCCAAGCGUUAGGCGGAAUCACUGGGCUUAAAGCGUGUGUAGGUGGAUGCCUAAGUACCUUGUGAAAUCCCACGGCUUAACCGUGGAACUGCUUGGUAUACUGGGUGUCUUGAGCCAACUAGGGGCAGCCGGAACAAACGGUGGAGCGGUGAAAUGCGUAGAUAUCGUUUGGAACGCCAAUGGUGAAAACAGGCUGCUGGGGUUGUGCUGACACUGAGACACGAAAGCCAGGGGAGCGAACGGG
rnacentral:rRNA from 1 species